UACAGAGGUCUCAAGCGUUGUUCGGAUUCAUUGGGCGUAAAGGGUGCGUAGGCGGCGCGGUAAGUCGGGUGUGAAAUCUUGGAGCUUAACUCCGAAACUGCAUUCGAUACUGCCGUGCUUGAGGACUGGAGAGGAGACUGGAAUUUACGGUGUAGCGGUGAAAUGCGCAGAUAUCAGGAGGAACACCAAUGGCGAAGGCAGCUCGCUGGGACGUGACUGACGCUGAGACGCGAAAGCGUGGGGAGCAAACAGG
rnacentral:rRNA from 1 species